ACAAUUAGUUGGAGCUUUCUUUGGUCAACAGCAGAUGUGACUAAGAAAAUCACGCUGUUUCACUUAGAGCAGUGGUCACCAAGUGUGGUCCUUAGGCCACACAGGUCAGCAUCACCUAGGAACUAGGAAAUGCAAGUUCUUAAGCAAUCCCACCCAGACCUACUGAAUUGGAAGUGCUGAGGAUGGGGUCCAGCAAUCUGUGGUUGAACAAGCUCUGCAGUUAUCUACAAUAGGAAGGAGAAAAGCCAGAUGCCUAGCUUGUCACAUCUGAUACCACGUUCUUCAGGAUCAAGCUUUUCCCAAACAGCAAGCUCAGGUGACCUCGGUGCUGUGGACUCACCCCUAAGUCCGCAAAUGGCCCAUCGAGCAGAGCUAACUGGGCCACGCGGCAGCGGUCCCUAUUGGCCAGUGUCUGCGGGGUGCUGUAGCCACCUCU
rnacentral:lncRNA from 1 species